CUUUCAUUCAGCACGGCAAAGAAGCUUUGAGCAGCCCUACAAUUGCCUCGCCUCUUUCUCUCCUUUUUAUUUGUGAUAGCAGCACUAAGGCUUAUUUGUUUUCUUGGUGUGCGCGCCUUCUUGAAAAGAGCUGUCUCUUUACAUAGUCCUACUUUGAAUGCCACAUCCUUCCUGUGUCCAAGAAGAGGCAUCCGUGGGGCCUAUGUCAUUGUGAGGUCUCUCUGAUCCUACACACCUCCUUGGGAUGGCAAUUCAUGUCGACUUACAUUGCUGGAGGAGUUCCUCGAGAUCGUUUCAAGGAAUCAUGUGCUGAAAAGGAUUCCCAGAAAUGCUCCAGGGCCUAUACCCAGCUCACAGGCUGCAAGUGGAAAAGUCUAUAGCUGAUGGAAAGUGUGCCUCAUAAUCAGACAAGUCAAAUGCUUUAUUUGUUGAAGUUGCCAAAUGAUUUUGAUAUAAAAUCAGACAGAGCAACAUGUGUGUGCUGUUUGUAGCAUCCUGGAAUUUCUUAAACAAGGUGCAGGGACUGAGGUCAAGAGUGUGGACAUUCCUGUAUAGAGAAGAUGAUAAGUGAAUGUGAGUACAACUCAAACUUCAGCAGGACGAGAAGUAUAUGAGACUUACUCCAAUGUUGUCUAAGGAGAAGCUGAGAGCACUCAAGCAGGCCGAUCACUCACAACAGGAGCCGGAGCCACACAGCUGAGAGGCCUGGAUUAAAUGGACUGAGAGCUGAUGGAGAAGUGACAAGGAGGAGCGGUGCAACUCUCAAGAAAUGAUUUAAAACUUCCCCGGGAUGAGGAACGGAACCCACGGUUAUAACCUUUAACGCCACUCUCCCAUAUCCCUAAGCAGAAAGACACAACUCGAAUAUAUACCAAUUCUUGGUAUACUUCAUUAAACCUGAUGUGUUUGUCCUCAAUUAGGAAGUGGAAAAAAUACAUGAUGAAAAUUCUAAUAAUUGGGUUAUGCAUCUCCUUAAGUUUCACUUUAUGGAAGAAUGCUUGGGGAGAGAAAGAGGAAAUAGUGUGAACAAAGAAAAAAGGUGUUAGCUCAAGAGUACUGCAUCACAAUAUAUAAAGCAAUUCAUAUUAAACUUAAUAUAUUUUUCCAUGUAUAGAUUCAGCAAUAGAAAUGGUUCAAGCAAUACAAACAAUUGGCCAAUCAAUUUUAUGGCACAUCAAAGAACGCAAUGAUUAUGAUGCCUGAUUAAAGCGGAAAGGGUAUUUGCAACCCGAUCCUAAAUCUCUGUUCCAAAACCGUGCAUUGGAUUUUGUUAAAUACUGCAAUGAAAGAAAAGUUCUGUUCAAAAGAAGGUUAUCUGGAUAACAUGACAGACGAUUAAGUGGAUCAACUUUUUAUAGUGGAUUUCAUUCAUUUGUUGACAACAAACACCCAUUUGUAAAUAUAAAUCAAAGGGGAAGUUGUAGCUGGGUUUUCUCCAUCUUGAUCAAAUGGUGAAUAUAGUCAUGACACAAUAGAUUGCUAAGAGGUUGUCUACAUAGAGCCCAAAAAUGUACUCACUCCACUUCAAGUGCUUUAGAAGUGCAUGAUGUUUAACCAAUAUCACAAUGGAAAUGCUUCUUUUAGGUGUUAAUAGCAUUUUUAGGAAACACACUUUUUGUCUUGAGUUUUAGAAAAGACUAUUUUUUACACCUAUGUCAGGAUCCAGAUGGAAUUGGAGGGAAGCUAAGUGGACAGAUUGGUGAGUCCAGCAAGUUUUGUGUGUUUCACCAUUUGUGUGUGUGUUCCAUUCAGUGCAGAUUAUCAAAGGCUAGCAGGGUUUCUAAAAUUGAGGCAUCCCUUUCAGAACCAACAGAUGUAUGUAUAGAUGGGAGAUCAAUGAUCAUGGCAGGAAGGGUCCCAAAAUGGUUUAACUUGUGUCAGCUUCAGUGAGUGUGACUGUGUGAGCAGGUGAGUGUGACUGUGUUAUCAAAUGCAUAAUUAAGCUAAUGAAUGCAUGUACCCUCCUUCUGCCUUCCAUGUUUGUUCAUCUUCCCAUCUGAAUGAGCAAAAGAAUGGCUGAUGGCUGAUGAGGGAGAUGUGGAUGCACACACUCUCCCUGUCAUUCUCAUCCAAUCACCUUCCCAUCCAAAGUGUGGAAUGUGCCCUCACUCCAUCUUUCUUGCCCGAUCUCACCCCUCUCCCCAAUCAGGAGUGUGUGCACGCUUUCUGGCUCACUCACUCACAUAGGUGGAGAUCUGCAUAAAUAUAUUAUUGGUUUAAAAAAAAUGCUGACACAAGGUAAACCCCUUUGGAACCCUUCCCACCAUGAUUUUUGGCCAUCUCACAUUUCCUAAGGUCAGAACAAUAUUUUGGGCCGAUUUAUGCCUAUGAAUAAGUGACCCAGAAUUUUGGGGUCAAUUCUGUGGCACAUUUUUUUUCAAUUUAUAGAAAAGUAUAUAUAGUAGAUACUUCAACAUCUUUCCUAAGAUUCACAUGCCACUAUUGGAGGGCUCCCACUUCUCUGUGAAUAAAUCCCAUCGAACUCAAGGAAGCCUAUAAGUCUGUAGUUAUUUCAACUGCUCUACCAUCUGGGGUGCUUGAGGUAGAAUGCCAUAAAACCAUGCCAAGUGUAUCUCAUUCACUACUAUUACAGUUUGGGAAAAUGGGAUUUUAAAAGUGGCAUUCAAAGAUUGGACCUAAUAGAGCACCAAGUCUGAACAGAUUACAAAACAGACAAAUAAAACCCCUCAAAAUCAUUAAUACAUUGCCAGAAUAAAAGCCAAGUCUAAAGACUGCCUAUCUAGUCCUUAUCCAAGUAUGUACAUACUCUCAAAGAUGUUUAUCUUCAGGUCUUCAUAAGAUCAAAUUCUAAUGUACAAUUAAAAUUUAGAAGUUUAGCUGCUGGAGAGAGAAAAAAUAAACUGCUAAUACAUAAACCAUUUUAUGCUAAUUGAGAAAAGUACUCCACAAAGCAAUUUUACAGAUCAUGAAUGAAUAAUCUUGGUUUCCAGUAGUUUUUGGAAACUCGAUGCUACCAGCUAAGAAGAAUCUGAAGAUGGAAGGAAAAACAGACAACCUUCUUGGUUUUAGAGAAGACUGUGCAAAACCUGAAAAGAGUGAACAUAUCCUGAGAACAUUCUGUCAUAACAAAAAGUUGAAGACAGCACCAAAGUAACUAAAAAUAUUUAUUAGAAAAAUAUAGGAAAUCAAUUUUAAGAGUUUUCUGUAAAAACCAAAAUAACACAAUCCAUUUCUAAGACAGAAUUAAGCAAGGAUCAUUGCAAUGUAAUCAUUACAUAUGUGCGGUCAGCAAUACAACACAUUGUGGAAGAAUCCCAAAUUUCCCUUUUGAGCACACAUGGAACUUGGAAGGGAGGGGGGACUUUCAAAAUUAAAAACUUUUUGGAUUUGGAGACUUAAAGCAAGGAACCAUUUCAAAACUAGUGGAGCAUAAGAAACAUCUCAUACUUUGUAAGAAGCAAUUUAUAGGAUUCUAGUAUUGCAAUUAAGUCUGUGUAGGAAGACAGAAGGAAAUAUCAAUCAGGAUACCUAGUCAUAGUCACAGCUAAGCAUUAAGUGCUGUCUCCCUGGCACACUAAGGGCAGAGACACACUAAACUCUCCUUUCCUCACAUAUUGGCUUUGGACAAGAAAGUCUUGUACUGGCAACCUAUAUAGGGAAAAUAGUCACUCUGGGGUGCUUGAGGUAGAAUGCCAUGAAACCAUGCCAAGUGUAUCUCAUUCAACUGCCUUCUUCAAAUAUUAGCUAGCCUGGCCUCCAGAAUCCACAGGCACAGAAAAAGCUGAUACCCCAUCUCCCCUGAAAAUGGGAUAUGAUGGAAAGGACUUUAGCAGCACGGACUGAACCUAAUGGGGUGAUUCAAAAUGAGGAGAACCAAGCAAAAAUGCCUCUCAGCAAGAGAUCAGAACUAAUCUGAUGCCAGUGUGUAAGACAACAGCACCAAGCUUGCCUGUAAAUUAUAGUCUCACUCAAUAACCUUUGGCUCCUCUAUGACAUGUUUACAUGGAAAUAAUGAGUGUACACAUGUUGUUUUAUACAAAACUUUAGAUUUGAACAUAAUUCAAAACUUUAUCAACAAAAGAUCAAAGUAAAAAGCUUUAUUUUAGAAAGGGGGAAAUAUGUGUAUUCAUUUUCUUUUCAGCCAAAACAAGACAAAGAGAAUGCUAGCUCAAAGGGAUCCAGUGUAGUGGGUGGACAUACAUAAAUGAAUAACUGCAUGUGAGCUAUUGCAUAGGAAACAGGUAACUAUGGCAAAAUUCCUUCCCUUCCCUUUUCAGUCUUUCAUGCCACUUAAAAAACACAACCAAAUGGUUUCCCAAAUAUGCCAGAACAGUCUUAUGGAUACCCAAGGGUUUACAACAGUUGGGAAAAUCUGUCCUCGAUAAAACUGAAUCCCCUUGUUCUGUCAGUGAGAAAGCAUAACUGAAAAUUGCCCUUUGCAACUGCUUGCUUGCACCUCUCCCUCUGAACUCCUCAUAAUAUCAAGACAUUUAAUAUCAGCAAUUCUUCAAGUCUGAGCCAGAGCGGGUGCCCACUUCAAAAUCAGCUGGGAGUCAUCCUUCAUGUUCAGAAGAGCAGAAUCAAUCUUAAUAUGCAGAAGGACGGAGUUUCAAAAAUAGUGCUAUUAGCUGUGCAACUGUAUGACAGCAACACCUAGAGAUGGAAGACCAGCAAUACAGAUUUAAUAGAUCCAAUUAGGUAAAGUUGUUUAUGUAAUCCAACACAAAAGAUAAACCAUUAUGAAAGGAAUGCAUCUUAAACCAGGCAAGUAAUCCCAACACAUAACCAUAAGUAUCAUCAGCAUAAAUCUACCAAUGCAUUGAUAUUUCAGAAUAUGUAAACUCUCUACAAACUGUCCAGUGACAAUUCUAUUGAGCAGAGAGAGGGGGGAAAUCAGUUCAAGAGCACCUGCCCCUGAUGGGAUCAAAAUGGACUGAAAUGCCCUUAAAUUCUCCCUUGAUUUUUCAUAUGCUAAUAAGGGCAAUCUUGUCCUAACUUGAAAUAAUGCCCCUCUUCUAGCUCUUCUCAUGUUUGGAAAAAAAUGUUAUCUACAGUCACUAUUGUUCUAUUUAUUGAUUCAAUAUUAAUACAUUAAUCUAAUAAUUUUAUUAAUGUAUUUUAAAUUAAAAUAAAUAAUAGAAAGAAUAAACAUUAGUGUAUAAUUGUUAUCAAAUUUUCAGGACAAUGUACAGAAUUCAUUAUAACAAUUAAAAUUAGUAUAUUAAAACAUAGUAAACUGGACAUACUCAAUAUUAAAAUCAUCAACUUUUUGCUCAAAUAAGAUCUGAAUAUGUAACAAAACACGCAUCAGGUAUUACACCUGGCAUAUUGGACAGGAAAGGAUAUUCCAAAUAUGAGGCACCCCAACAGAGCAGCAGAGUUGUCAUCUGAUAAAGCUAAGAAACCACUACUUGAGUUUUGCUUCUAGCUGUGUCAUCUUCCAUGUUGCUUUCUGGAAAAUAUAUGGCUACUUAGACUGUUGUCAUUGAAGCAUGGAGAAGUCUGAACAAAUCCCAGUGGGAAGAUGUAGUUAGAGCAACGUUACAGCUGAAAUGUUUUUAGACUUGUAAUGUGCCCCUUCCAUCUUCUUAGUCC